UGGGGAAUUUUGGACAAUGGGCGAAAGCCUGAUCCAGCCAUGCCGCGUGUGUGAAGAAGGCCUUCGGGUUGUAAAGCACUUUCGGACGGAACGAAAUCGCGUGGGCGAAUAUCCUGCGUGGAUGACGGUACCGUAAGAAGAAGCACCGGCUAACUACGUGCCAGCAGCCGCGGUAAUACGUAGGGUGCGAGCGUUAAUCGGAAUUACUGGGCGUAAAGCGUGCGCAGGCGGCGCCGCAAGUCAGGCGUGAAAUCCCCGGGCUUAACCUGGGAAUGGCGCUUGAAACUAUGGUGCUGGAGUGUGACAGAGGGAGGUGGAAUUCCACGUGUAGCGGUGAAAUGCGUAGAGAUGUGGAGGAACACCGAUGGCGAAGGCAGCCUCCUGGGUCAACACUGACGCUCAUGCACGAAAGCGUGGGGAGCAAACAGG
rnacentral:rRNA from 1 species